rnacentral:ncRNA from 2 species
GGAGGAACCUCUGGAGAGAACCGUUUAAUCGGUCGCCGAAGGAGCAAACCCUAUUUGGGGUGAAACUCUCAGGCAAAAGGACAGAGGAGUGGAA